GAUGAACGCUGGCGGCGUGCCUAAUACAUGCAAGUCGAGCGGACGGACGAGAAGCUUGCUUCUCUGAUGUUAGCGGCGGACGGGUGAGUAACACGUGGAUAACCUACCUAUAAGACUGGGAUAACUUCGGGAAACCGGAGCUAAUACCGGAUAAUAUUUUGAACCGCAUGGUUCAAAAGUGAAAGACGGUCUUGCUGUCACUUAUAGAUGGAUCCGCGCUGCAUUAGCUAGUUGGUAAGGUAACGGCUUACCAAGGCAACGAUGCAUAGCCGACCUGAGAGGGUGAUCGGCCACACUGGAACUGAGACACGGUCCAGACUCCUACGGGAGGCAGCAGUAGGGAAUCUUCCGCAAUGGGCGAAAGCCUGACGGAGCAACGCCGCGUGAGUGAUGAAGGUCUUCGGAUCGUAAAACUCUGUUAUUAGGGAAGAACAUAUGUCUAAGUAACUGUGCACAUCUUGACGGUACCUAAUCAGAAAGCCACGGCUAACUACGUG
rnacentral:rRNA from 1 species